GUGAUACAGACACAUUCAACAGCUGAACAAAAACCCCAGAGCACCGUUGGCUCUAUUAGUGAGUCUAUCUGCUGUACUGUAGGGGGACCUCAAGGACCACAAAUACUCAGUUACACUUUGAUUCACCACGUGGGUUUUGAUAGAGCUGCUAACAGCAUCAGACAAGGUCACACUCGGCAGAGACACUCCCACCUGCAGCUCUUCAUAUCUCUGCAAUGCACACUACACAAUAUGAGACUUUAGAACAUGGACACUGUCAGAUAUGGAUUCCACAGCUGGUUGCUAUUUCUGCUCUGGAACAAAGGUCUGACUGAUGGAAGGGAUGUCAUCCAGACUGACACACUGUGGGGGGAAAAGGGUGACAAUGCAACAAUACACUGCAGCCACACUAAGGGCAGUACAUAUCGACAGAUGUACUGGUACAGACAGCUACCAGGGGAGAGAAUGAAGCAAAUUGUUUUUACAACUGCAUUCAGCAACCAUGAAUACGAAAGCGGCUUCAGUGAGGAGAAAUUUCCGGCAAAAAAGAGCGAUGCUCUGACUGGAUCUUUGACUGUGGAGAAGCUGCUGCCUGAGGACAGUGGAGUGUAUUUUUGUGCUGUGAGUCAACACAGUGAUGCAGGUGACUGAGACAGCUGUACAAAUACCCAACUGUUG